rnacentral:rRNA from 1 species
CGAGAAAGCCCGCAAGGGUGAGUAAAGCGGCGCACGGGUGCGUAACACGUGGGUAAUCUGCCCUAGAGUCUGGAAUAACUCGCCGAAAGGCGUGCUAAUGCCGGAUGAGACCACGGGAGCCUCGGCUCCUGCGGGAAAAGGUGGCCUCUGUAUACAAGCUAUCGCUCUAGGAUGAGCCCGCGGCCCAUCAGCUCGUUGGCGGGGUAAUGGCCCACCAAGGCUACGACGGGUAGCUGGUCUGAGAGGACGAUCAGCCACACUGGAACUGAGACACGGUCCAGACUCCUACGGGAGGCAGCAGUGGGGAAUCUUGCGCAAUGGGCGAAAGCCUGACGCAGCAACGCCGCGUGUGUGAUGAAGGUCUUCGGAUCGUAAAGCACUGUCGCGAGGGACG